CAGACUGGGGAGUUACCAGAACAGGCAAAGUUCCAGGAACAUCCAACAAUAGCCUGUUCUCAGUCAUUCUGCUGGCUGCCUGGAGAAACAUGCAUUUACAAGAUAUUUCCCCCCCUAAGUUGUUAGUUUGUUCCUUUGUUGCCUGAAGGCAGCCAUCAAUAAUUCUACAGCAGUGUUACCACAUCUCUUCCCUUGACACAGAAUGUAGGUCUCUUUGUAAUGAGAUGGAGCAAAAUUUAAAAUGAAAAAACGAGAAAGGUGACAUAAAAACAGAAAAAUAUUGACAUAAAAGCAGGUCAUGUAGCAAGAAUGUCGAGAAGAGUAUGAGGGGGUAUCUGAGAACUCGUCUUGAGCCUCUGCGAGGUAGAGAUUAUUAAUUAACACCACCUCUGGUUAUUCUAAAUAUUAUUGUUGCUUCUUAGUGAAGAUUAGGGGAAGGCACCUGAGGCAGUUCGAACAAUUAGGAAGUAGACAGUCUGAAGUCUGGAGCAACAAACAAUCUGCCUGAGGAACUAAAUUGGUCAAACUACAUCUAUGAGGUAAAAGAAUUUUUGAUGAUUGGGCUGAGACCCUACGUCACGACUGAACAAGAGCAAUUCUGGGUAUCCCCCCUCAAGGUCAGGAUAAGUAGUGACUUGAAUAUGAAGCAAAAAGGGUUGUCAGGUUGGGUUGAACCAGGGGUUCCUAUCGCAAAGUUCCAUACCUUUGACCUGUGGACUACCAGGAGAGGCAUAGACCAGGUGGACCCAAGUGCAGAGGAGACCAAAGGCAAGGAUGGAGUUGAAAGAAGAAUCUUUACUUGAGGAUUGUCUUGUGGAGAAUGCAGGCUAGAACCUAAGAAUCACCACACACAAGGAAGGCCUAUCGCUUGAUGCUGCCGGCCACCGGUCUCUGUGUGACGGACUAUCGUCUCUGCAUUCCAGUGAUCCCUCUCUCUCCCUUGAUGCUGCUGGAGGAUGUUACCAAAGUUCUGUGAUCUAUGGACUGUGGCACUUCCAGUUUUAUAGCUUUUGUAUUCUGUGUUUUUACCCAUUUGGCACGUUUUGUUAACUUUUUAUGUGUUGGGGGGUUAGGGUUCAGUAAUGAUCUUGUUGCUGUUUGUGUAAAUCUUUUGCAUGGGGGAGGAUGAUGAUCAUGUUGCUAUCUUUCUUGUUGCUGUGAUUUGUUAUUUCUUUUUGUCUGCAAGGUUGGGGUUUGCUGUUCUUGCCAUUUGUAUGAUUGUGUUUUUUUUUGUGUGGGGAGCAGGGUUUGAUGUUUACCUUUGAAUGACUAUGGUUUUCUUUGUUUCAUGGCUGCCUGGAGAAGAUGAGUCUCAGAGUUGUAUACUGCAAACAUACUUUGAUAAUAAAUGAACCUUUGAACC